AUAUAAUGGCAUACAAUAUACUCGGUGAUCGGAAGCCAGUGAUUUAAAU
rnacentral:guide_RNA from 1 species